rnacentral:lncRNA from 1 species
UAUUGACAUGGAUGAUUGCUGGGAGGAUCCUAAUCAGAAGGGCUUGGAAGAAGAUUGGGACAGCUCUGAUGAAGACUAUAGUCCUUUUCUUCAUCUACGGUAUGUUUCAGUUUCUAGUUGCAUUUCAGGUUGAACUACUGCUAUGUUGAAGGGUGCAAUCACAAAUAUUUUGGUCUUUCAGGAGAAAGACAACGUUUUAGGAGAACAUGAUGCAGUUGUUCCUUUUUGAUCUUCAAAUUGAUUCUAUGUACAUAUCUUGCUGCUUUGCAGUGCCCCAGCUAUGACUGCCAACAUCAACCAACUCCUGGAGAUAAGCAUGGAUAAAGCCGUGCUUGAUGUGGCAACACCCAAUCCUCCAGGUGAGGACAUACAAGAAACUCCAGAACAACAAAAAGUUUCAGGUAUGCCCCUAUAGUUAUGCAAAUGCUAGUAUUUGUCAUACAUUUGCACUUAUGAUCAUAUUUCAGAACUUUUUUUGUCUGUCUUGUAGAACCAUUACCAAUACAAUAAUUGUAUAACUCUGGGUGAUUUUCCAUGUUUGUUUUGUGUGCAAAAUCAGCUGCUUAGGCCUGACUGCUAAGCACAUUAUAAUUGAAAUUGAAAUGAAGCCUCAUCUGAUACUUUUCCUGGAGUAGCAUCUAGUGGUGAGAAGUGUGUCACUGACUGGGCCUUUCGGGUUAUGUAUGUGUUUUUCAGGACAACUUCAGAUUUGGAGAAUUUCUAAAACCACAUACUCAUGUAUGCAGGAAAGCGGUUUGCCUACAGCCCCCCUGUUUACAAAACCCAGACAUUGCUUGCAGCAAUUGAUUACAACUAUCACAACCACCGCAUUCCUGCACGUGGCAAGGAUGGACACCGAAUGUACAGACAGUACUUCAACAAGAAGUCCGAGCACUGGAAUGUAUAUGUGUUGAAGGAGAGCAAAGGCUACCAUUACAUUCCAGACCUGCAGAAGGCCAUCCUUGCUGAGAGGCUGGGAAGUGGAAUGGGCCUUCCCAGAAUACAGGGUCUAAGGCCUGAUGAUCCCAGGCGCUUGGGUUUGCUUGCCGCAACGCAGCCUCCAUCCACAUUUGAACUUGUCACGGCUCAGGUUUCACGGGGA